GGACAAUGGGCGAAAGCCUGAUCCAGCAAUACCGCGUGUGUGAAGAAGGCCUUAGGGUUGUAAAGCACUUUCAAUGGGGAGGAAAAAGAGUAAGUUAAUACCUUGCUUAUUGACAUUACCUAUAGAAGAAGCACCGGCUAACUCC
rnacentral:rRNA from 1 species